rnacentral:piRNA from 10 species
UACCUGGUUGAUCCUGCCAGUAGCAUAUGC